rnacentral:tRNA from 1 species
GGUUCCGAGGCUGAGUGGUAAAGCAUUUGGCUUCAAAACCAAGGCCCCAGGUUUGAAUCCUGGUGAAGACU